AGCCCUGAGGUGUUGGCACGUCAGAUUGCAAAUCUGAAAGGGCAGGCUAAUAACCUGCCGGGGCUU
rnacentral:tRNA from 1 species